rnacentral:rRNA from 1 species
UUCAGAACGUCGUGAGACAGUUCGGUCCCUAUCUGCCAUGGGCGUUGGAGAUUUGAGAGGGGCUGCUCCUAGUACGAGAGGACCGGAGUGGACGAACCUCUGGUGUUCCGGUUGUCACGCCAGUGGCAUUGCCGGGUAGCUAUGUUCGGAAGCGAUAACCGCUGAAAGCAUCUAAGCGGGAAGCGCGCCUCAAGAUGAGAUCUCCCGGGGCACAAGCCCCCUGAAGGAACCAUGUAGACUACGUGGUUGAUAGGUCAGGUGUGUAAGUACAGCAAUGUAUUGAGCUAACUGAUACUAAUGAUCCGUGCGGCUUGACCAUAUAACCUCA